rnacentral:rRNA from 1 species
GUGGGGAAUCUUAGACAAUGGGCGCAAGCCUGAUCUAGCCAUGCCGCGUGAGCGAUGAAGGCCUUAGGGUUGUAAAGCUCUUUCAGGGGGGAAGAUAAUGACGGUACCCCCAGAAGAAGCCCCGGCUAACUCCGUGCCAGCAGCCGCGGUAAUACGGAGGGGGCUAGCGUUGUUCGGAAUUACUGGGCGUAAAGCGCACGUAGGCGGACCAGAAAGUCAGGGGUGAAAUCCCGGGGCUCAACCCCGGAACUGCCUUUGAAACUCCUGGUCUUGAGGUCGAGAGAGGUGAGUGGAAUUCCGAGUGUAGAGGUGAAAUUCGUAGAUAUUCGGAGGAACACCAGUGGCGAAGGCGGCUCACUGGCUCGAUACUUACGCUGAGGUGCGAAAGCGUGGGGAGCAAACAGGAUUAGAUACCCCGGUAGUCC